GCUUCGAUAGCUCAGUGGUAGAGCGGAAGGUCAGUUCAACUCAACAUCGUCCGACUUCUAAUGAAGUCAAGCUCACAAAGAAUAGAUUGCAGUGAUAGCAAUAAUCUUCAGGCCGCGUGUUCGACCCACGCUCGGAGCU